GAUGAACGCUAGCUACAGGCUUAACACAUGCAAGUCGAGGGGAAACGAUAGAGAAAGCUUGCUUUUUCUAGGCGUCGACCGGCGCACGGGUGAGUAACGCGUAUCCAACCUGCCCACCACUUGGGAAUAACCUUGCGAAAGUAAGACUAAUACCCAAUGAUAUCUCUAGAAGACAUCUGAAGGAGAUUAAAGAUUUAUCGGUGAUGGAUGGGGAUGCGUCUGAUUAGCUUGUUGGCGGGGUAACGGCCCACCAAGACGACGAUCAGUAGGGGUUCUGAGAGGAAGGUCCCCCACAUUGGAACUGAGACACGGUCCAAACUCCUACGGGAGGCAGCAGUGAGGAAUAUUGGUCAAUGGACGAGAGCCUGAACCAGCCAAGUAGCGUGCAGGAUGACGGCCCUAUGGGUUGUAAACUGCUUUUAUAAGUGAAUAAAGUGAGCCUCGUGAGGCUUUCUGCAUGGAUCUUAUGAAUAAGGACCGGCUAAUUCCGUGCCAGCAGCCGCGGUAA
rnacentral:rRNA from 1 species